rnacentral:sRNA from 1 species
UCCAGCUCAAGGUCAAAACGUUCAAGGCCGAAAGCCCUCCAGUUUCCCCUGGACACCUUGCUCCUGCUUCUGCUACGACCUUCUGGGGAACGCGAAUUUCUCAUUUUCUUCUUAAAUUGCCAUUUUCGCUUUAGGAGAUGAAUGUUUUCCUUUGGCUGUUUUGGCAAUGACUCUGAAUUAAAGCGAUGCUAACGCCUGUUCCCCCUAAUUGUUAAAAGCUGUGGACUGCAGAAAGAUGGCCCGCUUCUCUUACAGUGUGAUUUGGAUCAUGGCCAUUUCUAAAGCCUUUGAACUGGGAUUAGUUGCCGGGCUGGGCCAUCAGGAAUUUGCUCGUCCAUCUCGGGGAGACCUGGCCUUCAGAGAUGACAGCAUUUGGCCCCAGGAGGAGCCUGCAAUUCGGCCUCGGUCUUCCCAGCAUGUGCCGCCCAUGGGGAUACAGCACAGUAAGGAGCUAAACAGAACCUGCUGCCUGAAUGGGGGAACCUGCAUGCUGGGGUCCUUUUGUGCCUGCCCGCCCUCCUUCUACGGACGGAACUGUGAGCACGAUGUGCGCAAAGAGUAAGCCAUUCAGAGGGGCGGGGAGCCGUGGACAGGAGAGAGAAAGGGAAGUGGAAAUUUCAGACCCAAGGCUAUCGCCUUAC